rnacentral:rRNA from 1 species
UACGUAGGGGGCAAGCGUUGUCCGGAUUUACUGGGCGUAAAGCGCGUGUAGGCGGAAGCGCAAGUCCGGUGUGAAAGCCCCCGGCUCAACUGGGGAGGGUCACGCGAUACUGAUCGACUCGAAGGCAGGAGAGGGUAGUGGAAUUCCCGGUGUAGUGGUGAAAUGCGUAGAUAUCGGGAGGAACACCAGUGGCGAAGGCGACUACCUGGCCUGUUUCUUGACGCUGAGGCGCGAAAGCUAGGGGAGCAAGCGGG